rnacentral:lncRNA from 1 species
GUCCAACUAAAAAUAAAGUGGGAUCGGAGCUGGCCGUCCCGCGGAGCAGCCCGAGAGGCUGCAAUCAGAGCAUUGUGAUUAGUGGUCAGAGCUGCUGUCAAAGGAGCGUGACCAGGUCAUCUUCCCCAGGACUACGGCAGCUCCAGUGAAGACAAAACGUAGGGCUUCUGUGACCUUUGCUAUUUCUAUUGUUAGGCUUUUAGUUUUAAUCCAAAAAUAUGCAGGAUUUACAGUUAUUGUUGUCAGAAACUUCCAGAAGAAUCAACAAAGUGAAGUGGAAAGAAGCACAUCAGGGAGGUCCGGCCUCGGGGUUUGGCCCCUGGUCUUCCAUCUGCUUGGAAUCUGCUUUGGACACGUAUCCGCCCGGCUUGUUGCAUGGCUUGACGAGAGGUGCUAGGUCUGUGCCUGGGAUCCAAAACUGCGAACCCUGGGCCGCUGAAGUGAAGCACACAAACUAAACCACUACACCACCAGGCUGGCCCCCAAAAUCACCUCUCUUGAUGCCUCAAUGAUGCAGGUGACGUACAAGAAGAAGCAGGCUGUCUCCACUAAGCAUCUGGGGCCCAGCUGCUGCCCUUUGCCACCACGGGGAGGCAGCAGACCAACACCCACAUGUGGAACACACUUGGCACCCUACAGUGACCUCGUGGGUGUAAUGGUCAGUGCUUCACUGCCUCUUCCAAAUCGCACGCAAAUUUCUCCUGUGGCUAACUCUAACCCAGAACCAGACGGUGAAGGGAAUUCUGGGAAAUCAGCUCCACCUUAGCUAAACAAAAAGCCGCUGUACCAGGUUUCAUCCUGUCAAUGUAUUUGUAGAUGCCUUUGAUUUUUCUUUAUAACACUAAAUACAGAAUAAUUCGAAUAUACAAGAGAAUAUAAAUACAGAGUCUUUCCAUGGUUUCCUUUAUGAAAUUACUAACUUUCUGUCAUCUUGAGUACCCAGUCAUCUUGGAUCAUUUCUUGCCAUGUGCUUAUUGGGAUGAAUUAAAACUACUGGCCUAUUUGUAUUUCACUUAUAUAUAUGAAAUGUUGAGUCUAUUCCUUAUACUUGCAGCAAAAACAGAUCCUCUGUGGUAUGUAUUUCAUGUAAAUGAGGAUUAGACAAACUUCAGGAUCCAUUUGGCAUUAGUAUCUGUGUAACAAUAGGCUUAUGUAUUUAUGGAGCUAGGUAGGUAUGUCUACAUGCUUGUUCUAACUCUCUCUCUAUAUAUAUGACCAGAUAGUGCUAUAGAGACUUAAGAACAGUCUUGAUGACUAUACAGACAGAUAUCUAAAAACCGAGAGCUGAGAAAUUGGUGUUGUAACUUCUGAGUAAUUAUUUCAACUACUGGACACCUGUCACUAAUCCAAAAGCCAAAGGAAUUGGCAGUUUUGUAUAAGACGUUCCUUCACUUUGGCUUCUUAAGAUGACAGAGGUAGUUGUAGAUAGGAAAUGUAGAAACAGCAAAAAAAAAAAAAAAAAAAAAAGAACUCUCACCACGAAUGAGUGAUAAGAAUUUGUUGAGCUCUCAGACUCUCCGCUUCUGCUUCCCUCAGCACCUCUUAGAUCCUUUAGACUUGUAGCUUGUUUUCCUUUUCUGAGCCAGCGGAGAUUGUAAAUCAACCUUCCAGUCUUCAUCGCCAACCCAGGGGAAAUAGGUGAGACAAGUGGUUUCCAAAUAUUUGAUAAAACAGAGAGGGUGUUUGGGGUAGAAAGAAUUCUGGUUUUCGGUUCAAUCCAUUUACCUACUUAUGUCCUCUUUAGCAUUAUUUAACUUGUUAGAGUUUAUGUUUCCUCUUCUGCAAAAUGGCUGUGAUCUUGUCUGCUUCCUAAGAAGCUCCAGGGUUGACGGAGGGGACUCGGAUGUCCACCUCCCACCUUCCUUCGCCAAUACUUCUUCACUGCCGAGACCCCAUUCGUCUCACGUGACUGAUACCUACUAAGCGGGCUACAACGAGUAGGCUCAUAUGAUUUUUAAAUGCUGGAGAAUUAGGUUUCAGUAGGCAAGUGGAACUUUUAAAAGAAUUUAUUCCUUAGUCUGACAACCACUGUUUAUUUUGCUUAACUGAAGCAACUGAUUUUUCCUUUAUCAGGAUAAAAUCAUGAAAGAUUUUGAAAAAGGCAAGAAAGAUUACUGGUGUCCUGUCUAGCAUACCCUUCUGGGUUAUCUUUGUCUCUUAUUGUCUUUGAGCUAUUUUACAACUCUGUCAGCUGUAGAUAACGG